AUGCUCUUUAGUAAGCAAGUAUGUUUUUCUUCUGAAUUGCAAUUAGCAAUUAGCAAGGUACAUUCUAAGCUUCAGAUUGUGAACACUGAAAUGUCCAACUUAAAAGACCGCAUGAAAUUUCCUCUCCAUGUUCCUUUGAUCAAGCCAGCAGCUCCUGCGUUUUUAUGAUCAUCUUUACCAUCUAGAUUGCUGUCCGCAAAUGCUUCAGAGCAAUGGAAAAAAUUGGAGAUUGAGAGGAAAAUCCUUGAGAGCUCCACGAUAUCUAGCUUGCAGCUUAGCUAUUAUAAUCUUGAUCUUCAGCUGAAGCUGUGCUUGUUAUGCUUCUCUAUAUUCCCAGAAAAUUCCAUUAUUAGCAAGAGGGCUAUGAUCCAUUGGUGGAUUGGUGAAGGGUUAGUAGAAGCCACAAGAAGUCAGACAACUGAAGAUAUUGGGAAGGAGUGCUUUGAGAAGUUGAUCACUGCAGAGAUGAUUGAACCUGUAUGUCAUAAACGUAACUGUAGUGUGAACCAAUGCAAGUUGCAUCCUUGGAUUCGGCGUAUGUUGGUCACCGUUGCAAGGCAAGAACGAUUUUUUGAAUUUGAUUCCGAUGGCAAUGCAACAUGGGGCUUUUCAGGUACUCGCCGUGCUUGUCUAGUAGGAGAACAUAUUCAGGCAACAGAAACGGCACCACUCAGAAAUCAGUCCAAUCCAGAUUACCUUCUUGCAAUAUUCAAUGUGAGCGAGCAAUACCUCCAGUUCGACAAGAAUUGGUUCUUGGAUUUGAGGAAGGUCGAAGUUCUCCAACUAGGUCGGUGGCAUAACUUGUACCGAUACCAUAUUGAGGUUGACAGCACUGAAUAUUUGGAAGGGUUGCAGUCAUGCAAACAAUUGAAAUAUCUUUGUCUGCGGGGUAUCUCCCGUAUCGCAGAGCUUCCUGCUUCAAUCGGCGCACUCUCAAAUCUCAGGAUCUUGGAUCUUCAUGCUUGUCAUAACCUUGAGAGGCUUACUGAGAGCAUCACGUCUCUUCAGAUGCUGACCCACCUGGACGUUUCAGAAUGCUACCUUUUGGAGGGCAUGCCAAGGGGCAUUGGUUUGCUUACUGAACUCCAAGUGCUGAAAGGGUUUGUCAUUGGUGGAUCUACAGGCAAGUACAAUUGUCAGGUAGCGGAGCUGAUCAGGCUGGGCAAGCUGAAGAAGCUAAGCAUAUAUAUUGGAAGCAAAGUUCUAGUGACAGAAGACGAACUGCAUGUAGUUGAGAACAUCAAAGCCCUUCGUGUGCUGACAAUUACAUGGGCUGUGUUGCUGUCAAAGAAAGGAGCGGGCCAACAAGAUUCUGCAGCAACAGCGUUGUUAAAUUCGUUAUCCCUUCCUCCCCAUCUCGAAAAGCUAGACUUGCGUUGCUUCCCUGGUGAGAACAUACCGGUUUGGUUGAGUCCGAGUAGGCUGUUGAGACUGCGGAGGCUCUACUUCACAGGAGGAAUGCUGAGCACUUUUGGAGAGAAGAGCAUGUCCGAGCAGUGGAACAUUGAGAUAUUGCGUUUAAAGUUCUUGAAUGACUUGGGAGUAGAAUGGACCCAGGUGAAUGAGAUGUUUCCAAACCUGACCUUCCUGGAGGUAUUCAGAUGUAGCAACAUAGAAUCUUUUCCUUGUGACAAGGAUGGAGUGUGGAUGAACUACGACACCCAGGAAACCAGAGAGUAG
rnacentral:rRNA from 1 species